rnacentral:rRNA from 1 species
GUAGGAACCAACUUAAUUCAUGCGGAGGAAAAGGUAGAAAGAGUAAUAAUCAAGAAAAUCGGAAAGGGACGGAUGAAAUCGAAAUGGUUUCGUUAAUUUGAGGAGUUUGAACCUUGAAACCAUUGAUAAGAAAAAGGGAUUAGAUACCCCGUUAUUCAAUGUGAAAAGAAUUCUUAGUAGUAAAAGUUAAGGGCUUGAAACUAAAAGAAAAUGGCGGUAUUACAGCCUGUUUGGAGGAACUUGUUUCGUAAUCGACGAUCCCCGUGCAAUGUGCUGUAUUUGAGGGUAUGUAUACCGUUGUCGUCAGAAAAUCUUAACCAAGGAAUUUUCGAUAAUUUGGGAUCUAUCAUAAGUCAAAUCAAGGUGCAGCUGAUAAUACAGAGAGAAUGAGUUACAAUAAAUUAAAUUUAUACGGAGCCUUGAUUGUAAAAAAAGAGUUGAAGGUGGAUUCAAAAGUAAAUUUUCAAAAUAAAGGAAAAUUGAGUGAAGCUCUGAAAUAUGCACACAUCGCCCGUCGCUCUCAUACAAAAAUUGAG